GUGCCAGCAGCCGCGGUAAUACGGAGGGUGCAAGCGUUAAUCGGAAUUACUGGGCGUAAAGGGUGCGUAGGUGGUUUGAUAAGUUAUCUGUGAAAGCCCUGGGCUUAACCUGGGAAGGCCAGCUAAGACUGUCAGACUCGAGUAUGGGAGAGGGUAGUGGAAUUUCCGGUGUAGCGGUGAAAUGCGUAGAGAUCGGAAGGAACACCAGUGGCGAAGGCGGCUACCUGGCCUGAUACUGACACUGAAGCACGAAAGCGUGGGGAGCAAACAGGAUUAGAUACCCGGGUAGUCC
rnacentral:rRNA from 1 species